CGUUUGAGCAGUAAAUUGUGGACAAGCUUCCCUUUAAAAUUAUUUAUAAAUUAUCUUAGAUGCAGAACUCCUCCAAUCAGACACAGGUAAAGUGACUUAGACAGUCUCAUGCAGUCCAUAUAACAAUAUAACUAUUUUGUGGACCUUGAUUCUCUAAUUUUUUUAAAAUAAAUUCAACUUGCCAACAUAUAGUAUAACAUCCAGUGCUCAUCCCAUCAAGUGCCCUCCUUAGUGCCUGUCACCCAGUCACCCUCAUCUCCUUCUUUAAUUCUUAUUUUUUCCAUUUGCAAAAUAAGGUUGAUAUGAUUAGAUCCAGGUGCUAUAGCAUCAGCUCAGUAAAUAACAGCAACUUAUUAUGAUGAUGAAACGGUUAUUUAAGAAGGCAUAAGAAGAAAAUACAAUUUAUUAAAGGGAUUUUGUACACUUGGAUAUGGACAUCUUUUCUCAAGUAUCUCAACACCAUAGCAAUACUAAACCGCGUUUAAUUUCUUCAUGUAUAAAAAGAUGUGCCGAAAGAUGCAUGCCUCAUCAGUUUUUAUUUUAUUGGGUAUGGCUAUAGGUGACACCCUUCUCUAGAAAAGCAAACUGCACAGCGUCACACAGAGAGUACAGAUAUCCUAAGUUCAUUCACACAGUCAUUUUUCUAAUUUGCUCUUGAGGAGAACUUUAAGUCUUUGCUCAAUUCUAAUCAUUCCACAAAAUGCUUGGACCCCUCAGGAAAUAAAAGUAACCAAUUUCUUUAUUUUUCUAGAACUAACUUUGUUUAUUCAUGUAUUCUGUUAUAUUUCUGACCCAAAUUAAGCCCUUUGCUAAAAGGAACAACUUACCUCACAUUCAGUCUGAAUAUAAAGUGUUCUACAGUGUUUUCAAGUAUUUUAGAAGAUUUGCCACUUUGGAUAAAAAGCCAUACUAUCUUAGUAAUAUGUCAGUGUAGACAGGCACACUCUAGAUUGCUCUCAGGAGAAUGAUUACUAGGGUGUGUUUAAUCCUGGCAGUUAAGUGAUGCUGGGAAUAAUCUGCCUUUAAAAUCCUACAAAUUGGGAUCCCUGGGUGGCACAGCGGUUUGGCGCCUGCCUUUGGCCCAGGGCGCAAUCCUGGAGAUCCGGGAUCGAGUCCCACGUCGGGCUCCCGGUGCAUGGAGCCUGCUUCUCCCUCUGCCUGUGUCUCUGCAUCUCUCUCUCUCUCUCACUGUGUGCCUAUCAUGAAAAAAUUAAAAAAAAAAAAAAAAAGAAAAAAAG
rnacentral:lncRNA from 1 species